rnacentral:rRNA from 1 species
GUACGCACGCAUAGUGUGAAACUCAAAGGAAUUGACGGGGGCCCGCACAUAGCGGUGGAGUAUGUGGUUUAAAUUCGAUGCAACGCGAAGAUCCUUACCAGGGUUUGACAUCCUGCGAAUCUCUUGGAAACAGGAGAGUGCCUUCGAGAACGCAGUGACAGGUGGUGCAUGGCUGUCGUCAGCUCGUGUCGUGAGAUGUUGGGUUAAGUCCCGCAACGAGCGCAACCCACGUCUUUAGUUGCCAGCAUUUAGUUGGGCACUCUAGAGAGACUGCCGGUGAUAAACCGGAGGAAGGUGUGGAUGACGUCAAGUCAUCAUGCCCCUUACAUCCUGGGCUACACACGUACUACAAUGCUACGGACAAAGGGCAGCAAGUUCGCGAGGACAAGCAAAUCCCAUAAACCGUGGCUCAGUUCAGAUCGUAGGCUGCAACUCGCCUACGUGAAGGCGGAAUCGCUAGUAAUCGCAGGUCAGCAUACUGCGGUGAAUACGUUCCCGGGCCUUGUACACACCGCCCGUCACACCAUGGAAGUUGGCCACGCCCGAAGCCGUUACUCCAACCCUUGUGGAGGAGGACGUCGAAGGUGGG